rnacentral:rRNA from 1 species
GACGAACGCUGGCGGCGUGCUUAACACAUGCAAGUCGAACGGAAAGGCCCUGCUUUUGUGGGGUGCUCGAGUGGCGAACGGGUGAGUAACACGUGAGUAACCUGCCCUUGACUUUGGGAUAACUUCAGGAAACUGGGGCUAAUACCGGAUAGGAGCUCCUGCUGCAUGGUGGGGGUUGGAAAGUUUCGGCGGUUGGGGAUGGACUCGCGGCUUAUCAGCUUGUUGGUGGGGUAGUGGCUUACCAAGGCUUUGACGGGUAGCCGGCCUGAGAGGGUGACCGGCCACAUGGGGAUUGGGUUACGGCCCAGACUCCCACGGGGGGCAGGAGGGGGGAAUAUUGCACAAGGGGGGGAAGCCUGAGGCAGAAACGCCGGGGGGGGGAAGACGGCCUUCGGGUUGAAAACCGCUUUCCCCUGUCCCGAAGGGGGGGUGGCGGAAAUGGGUAAAGAAGCCCCGGCUAACUACGU